AACGCUCUUAUAUUAGUUUACAGAGGGAGUACCAAAUACGAAUGUAGAAUUUGGCACUACUUCUUCAGCCUGAAAUCCAACGCAAGAAAGUAAUUCAGAAGAACUAUUGAGCAGUCAAUACUGAUUGCACAUUUGAGAACUUCUAAACGAUACAAAUCUGCCCGUAAACACACAGAUUGCACUUUAAUCAAAAUCACCUAUAUUGCGAACUGAGACCGUCCUAGAUUUGAUAUAACUAUUAAUGUGCAAGCAGUGAGUUGGAUUUCUUCGGCACAGUUCAACAGUAAAUUCGAAAAGAUUGCAGUCUCUUACAUCAGAGCACAACUCGAUACUUAAGUGAAACUGCCUAAACGACCAGCAACAUGAUGUAAAGAUAUUAAUCAGUUGAACGGCAUCAAACUAACAAAUAGUAGAGCUAAAGAAGAAUUUGAAGUAGAGCAUCAGAGUUACAUAUGUGCAUCAGACCUAAGUUACGUAUGCGUGGGAUUCAGGUUUCAGAGAAGGAGCAGGCAAAAGAAACAAGUCACUAUCUGAACAAAUUCCUUAAUCGCCGAAGGGUGCUCUCCUGUCAACAGAAUGGGGUCAGGGAGAAAGAUCCGGCUGCAAUAGAAUAAUCAGAUCAAAGAGAAGGCUAGUGAAGGCCGAAGAACAAUCCGAGCAAGAUAGGGCUUCCUUACCAAGAAGAAGAAUCGCGUCCGGGUAGGUCUUCACUCGCUACCAAUAGAGAGGACGAGAAAGAAUGCCCACGAGAGAGAUCUCCAGGCGUGGUUCGGCGGAAGGAGGGGACGAGGCGAGCUUGGCGGCGACAGCGAAGGGCGUUUCGGCGGUGCCGGCGAUGGGGAAGACGAUUUUCUGUCAACAACAUUCCAUUUCUUUCUUUCUUUCUUUUUUCCUUUUGGUAAC
rnacentral:lncRNA from 1 species